rnacentral:snRNA from 1 species
GGAUGUGAGGGCAAUCUAGCUGCAACAUCUGUCACCCCACUGAUCUUCAGGGUUUACUCGGCUGAUCUGGCUGGCUAGGCAGGUGUCCCUCUCCUCUCUCACCACUCCAUGUGCGUCCCUCCUAAAGCUGCACACUCUCUGGAAGAGGACACUACCCUGAAUAGAGACAGACCAGUCUUCAGUCAAAGAUAUAUGAGUAGCUGCACUCCCCUGCUAGAACCUCCAAGCAAGCUCUCUAGGUCUAUUUGUAGGAAAAUGUAGGGUAGUCAAGCUUCCUAGAUUCCAGGUACAUCCACAUGAGGAGCUGCAUGUGGCAGUUUGCCUUUCUU